GACGAACGCUGGCGGCGUGCUUAACACAUGCAAGUCGAACGAUGAAGCCUUUCGGGGUGGAUUAGUGGCGAACGGGUGAGUAACACGUGGGCAAUCUGCCCUUCACUCUGGGACAAGCCCUGGAAACGGGGUCUAAUACCGGAUAACACUCUGUCCCGCAUGGGACGGGUUAAAGCUCCGGCGGUGAAGGAUGAGCCCGCGGCCUAUCAGCUUGUUGGUGGGGUGAUGGCCUACCAAGGCGACGACGGGUAGCCGGCCUGAGAGGGCGACCGGCCACACUGGGACUGAGACACGGCCCA
rnacentral:rRNA from 1 species